rnacentral:rRNA from 1 species
CAAGCGUUGUUCGGAUUCAUUGGGCGUAAAGGGUGCGUAGGCGGCGCGGUAAGUCGGGGGUGAAAUCUCGGAGCUUAACUCCGAAACUGCAUUCGAUACUGCCGUGCUUGAGGACUGGAGAGGAGACUGGAAUUUACGGUGUAGCGGUGAAAUGCGUAGAUAUCGUAAGGAAGACCAGUGGCGAAGGCGGGUCUCUGGACAGUUCCUGACGCUGAGGCACGAAGGUCAGGGGAGCAAACGGG